CAAGAAGUUAUACCAGUAUGUCUGCCGCUGCAUUCACACAGGGUACCAGUUGAGCCUCAAAUCCCGAACUCAAAAAUGAACAGAGUGUAUCUGAGUGCAUUCCAGGCUACACAAAAUAGUUUAGCUCUAUAAUUUUCUCUAUUAUUAUAUAUUAUUGUUUUUUUUGUCUAUUAUUUAUAAAUAAAUAAAUACAAUUACUGUA